UACGUAGGGUGCGAGCGUUAAUCGGAAUUACUGGGCGUAAAGCGUGCGCAGGCGGUUUUGUAAGCCAGAUGUGAAAUCCCCGGGCUUAACCUGGGAAUGGCAUUUGGGACUGCAAGGUUUGAGUGCGGCAGAGGAGACUGGAAUUCCUGGUGUAGCAGUGAAAUGCGUAGAUAUCAGGAGGAACACCGAUGGCGAAGGCAGGUCUCUGGGCUGACACUGACGCUCAUGCACGAAAGCGUGGGGAGCAAACAGG
rnacentral:rRNA from 1 species